rnacentral:rRNA from 1 species
CUACGGGCUGCUGCAGUGGGGAAUAUUGGACAAUGGAGGAAACUCUGAUCCAGCCAUGCCGCGUGAGUGAAGAAGGCCCUAGGGUUGUAAAACUCUUUCAGUAAGGAAGAUAAUGACGGUACUUACAGAAGAAGCCCCGGCUAACUCCGUGCCAGCAGCCGCGGUAAUACGGAGGGGGCUAGCGUUGUUCGGAAUCACUGGGCGUAAAGCGCGCGUAGGCGGUUUGAAAAGUCAGAUGUGAAAGCCCAGGGCUCAACCCUGGAACUGCAUUUGAAACUAUCAGACUAGAAUUCGGUAGAGGAUAGUGGAAUUCCUAGUGUAACAGUGAAAUGUAUAGAUAUUAGGAGGAACACCAGUGGCGAAGGCGACUAUCUGGGCCGAUAUUGACGCUAAUGUGCGAAAGCGUGGGGAGCAAACAGGAUUAGAUACCCGCGUAGUC